rnacentral:rRNA from 1 species
GACGAACGCUGGCGACAUGCCUAACACACGCAAGUCGAGCGAGUUGAUUUCUUCGGAAUGAAGCUAGCGGCGGACGGGUGAGUAACACGUGGGCAACCUGCCUCAUAGAGGGGAAUAGCCUUCCGAAAGGAAGAUUAAUACCGCAUAAGAUUGUAGUACCGCAUGGUAUAGCAAUUAAAGGAGUAAUCCGCUAUGAGAUGGGCCCGCGGCGCAUUAGCUAGUUGGUGAGGUAACGGCUCACCAAGGCGACGAUGCGUAGCCGACCUGAGAGGGUGAUCGGCCACAUUGGGACUGAGACACGGCCCAGACUCCUACGGGAGGCAGCAGUGGGGAAUAUUGCACAAUGGGGGAAACCCUGAUGCAGCAAUGCCGCGUGAGUGAUGACGGCCUUCGGGUUGUAAAGCUCUGUCUUCGGGGACGAUAAUGACGGUACCCGAGGAGGAAGCCACGGCUAACUACGUGCCAGCCGCCGCCGUAA